rnacentral:lncRNA from 1 species
AGAGGAUCUAUUUGAGUAAUAUAAACAAGCCAGUAGCCAAGUUUAUGCUAAGACAAAGCCUUAGUCUUUGCAUUUAGUUUUCCAACUACAGAAACAAAUAAAUCCUGGUUCUACAUCUACUGGGGCAAAGUCAGUUAUUAGAUGCAAGUUGAGCUCAAAAGGUGCUCUUUUUUUUUUUUCUACUAAAAAAUAGACAUUAUGGAAUUUGGGGGUUAAUACUGAUACUGGCAUGGUUAACAGCAGUAUGUGAAAAAUAAUGUAUCCUGAUGAAAUACAUUGCAUUUGUAAAACAGAUUUGGAAUAAUCUGAUUUAUCUUCUUUCUUAUAGCAUUUUGAAUUCAGAAUAUCUCCACUGACUUCAGCUGAAUGAAGAACAGAAGCUAACCUGUUUAUUAGCUCUAUAUCUUGCCUUUAAAAACAUGAUGCAUUAAGAGAUGUCAUGAUUAAUUGCUAUCAAGCAAAUGAGCAUCAAAAUUCUCGUAUAUUAUAGUAACAUUGUAAGACAUUAUGGCAGAUGUCAUCCAACUGCUACAUGAUCGAUGCUAUCAUUUUUGAUUGAUGUCCCUGACACUGUGGCAUUCAAAACAGAGCAAAACCUCAUAUGCUUUUGAGAGAUGAUGAAUGUAAACUUGUAAAGUGAGAAAUUAUUAUGUGGAGGAACUAAAAAUAUGCAAUGAAGGUUCCUGCAGCCAUUAGGAUGUCCUUCAUAGAGGAAAGGAGACAGAAUUUUUGGAUGUACAGAUAAUGCAAAAAUUGAAAUUCUCUGUGGUCAAAAAAGAAUGUGGAAAGCACUGGCAAAUGAACAAAAGAUUAAUUAUCACUGAAAAGAAGUGGCAUGUAAAUAGAAGGAGGUGAAAGAGGUGAAGUCUGUCACUUUCUGGCAGAAGUGGAGAAUAGCUGAGAAGCAAGGUCACAGAAGAAGAAGGAAAAACAGCAGUAGAAGAAAUUACACAGUUAUGAGAAAGCAGUGUUAAAAAUUACCAAAAACAGAAAUAAUGCACUUUAAAAAAAAAAAAAAAAUAAAGACCAAUACAAUCUUGGAAAAACA